AGAGUUUGAUCAUGGCUCAGGAUGAACGCUGGCGGCGUGCCUAACACAUGCAAGUCGAGCGAUUUACUUCGGUAAAGAGCGGCGGACGGGUGAGUAACGCGUGGGUAACCUGCCCUGUACACACGGAUAACAUACCGAAAGGUAUGCUAAUACGAGAUAAUAUGCUUUUAUCGCAUGGUAGAAGUAUCAAAGCUUUUGCGGUACAGGAUGGACCCGCGUCUGAUUAGCUAGUUGGUAAGGUAACGGCUUACCAAGGCGACGAUCAGUAGCCGACCUGAGAGGGUGAUCGGCCACAUUGGAACUGAGACACGGUCCAAACUCCUACGGGAGGCAGCAGUGGGGAAUAUUGCACAAUGGGCGAAAGCCUGAUGCAGCAACGCCGCGUGAGCGAUGAAGGCCUUCGGGUCGUAAAGCUCUGUCCUCAAGGAAGAUAAUGACGGUACUUGAGGAGGAAGCCCCGG
rnacentral:rRNA from 1 species